GCUCUUGUUGUUUCACAGGACAUGCACAAUCAACUUCUUCAGUAGAAAUAGACAAUGGACCAAAUAUAUAGACAGUGGACGCAAAAUCAUAUUUUUGGCACAAAUGGAACUCCAUACGGUCCAGCCUCAGCCAGACUCCGCCUUCAUUGGCCCCAAGGACUCUGAAGGGUCUUCAGGCCUGAAUGUUUACUGAGAAUAGGAAGUGCAUGGAUUCCUGCAGGAGGACACGCUCGGCCCCGUAUGGAGAGGGUGGAUGGGUGCUGCCGGCGCUGGCACUUGACAAACAGCCUGUUUUAAUGCUCCUCACAACCCUGUGAGACGAGUCCCUCCUCACAACACACUGCGCCCCUUUCAAACACGGCUGUAAGUCUCAAACAGGAGGUGAAUCCACCCACCCUUCCAGAGUAAAAGCAUCUUAAGUGUAAGAAAAAAAUAUUUGCUAAAAUUAUGUCUUGAGUUUAUGAAACACAAAAAAGCGAGAUGAACCGGAGUGUAAGUGUGUGUGUUUUUUAAUUUUUUUUAGGCUUUGUGUGUGAAUGGGGGGAUUUGCCACCUGCUUGUUGUCAGGCUGUCUGAACACACAGUGGCAAAGUGCUGCUGGAAGAAUCGGUUCCCCCGUGUACUACAAUAUCCUGUUUGCGCUGCACCGCUCUCCCCGCGCCUCCGCACACAUGCAUGCACACGCAGCCUGCAACUCAAGCCCCCACCUCCCUCCCGAGCUGAAAACACACAGCUUUGUUUUCACUGCCUUUUUUGCACACACGUCCACAGAUCAGGCGCAGCGAUUCUGAUACGGCGGGAGAGAAAAAGAUGCGUUUACGGGAGGGUGACGAUCUGCAAUAAUAAUUUGCACUUUUACUGCAAAAGUAUUGGGAUUCCCAGGAGAGAAGAACAAUGCUCACUCUGACUUCGUUUAGGAGCCAACAAAUCACUUUUCGCACUUAGUGACACAAAGUUUAUGCAAUAAAAUGAUUAAGAAAAGGGAAGCUGCUUCUCGUAAGCUCGAUAAAAAUAUUUUUUUAAAAAAAGGAAAAAGAAAGGAACGGGGAUUGGCCUAAAGGCAGAUACCAGCUCACUUCCCAACAGAGAGCAGCGCAUUUCCUGAAACUGACAUAGUACAUAGUGAGGCCUGACUUACCGUGAAAGAGAAAGAGGGAGGGGGAGAAAAAGGGAACGGGAUUUGACUUACUGUCAGAGAAAAAGUGUAAAUAAUAUAAUAACUCAAAGAAAAAAUGUUUGUUUUUCAGUAAUUCUUCAUUUUUAGGUCAUUUUUAAUCAUAAACUUAAAGAAAAAAUAGAAAACUUUGAGAGAACAGAGUAGAAAUAAUGUAUCAAGUGUGUGAUUUAAUUCUUUUUUAUUACGUAAGAACAAAAAACUGAAUUAAAGCAACUAAAUUAGAAACAAUUACAAAGGUAACAACAUCCAAUAUGCUGACAUCUGUUUUAUUUAAUUUAUAUAUUUUUGGCUGGCUGAGCCUAUUUGAGACACUUAAAAUAAAUCAAAUUAAACCAAUAGUGAAUGGAUCCAAAGCAGGAAACUUCCUGGUGUUGCAACACCACAGCCUGCUGGUCACAGAGGGGAUUAUAUUUAUCCAGCCCCCUCCUCCAAACACUGCCAUCCUACCAAAUGUUGGAUUCAUAGAGUCUUUAUUUCACAUAAAAUAAACAUUAAAUGUAAAUGAUACACACGUUGAAGUGUAUCAGUGGUAAGCUAGAUAUAAAAAUGUAAUAAAGUUGAUUUUUCUGAAACAGUUUGCAAGAAUCUAAAUGAUAAAAUAUGAUGCUAAAAAUAAAAAAAGGCUAUUUUUUAAAUCUAGUGUUUACAUUUUAAAGGUACAUAUUAUUUCAUUAUUUUGGGUCAAGUUAAUUCCAAAGUCAUUUCAUGCCUGAAUUUAUUAACAGCUUUAAAAAAAUUUAAGUAACUUUUCACACAUAAUCGGGGGGAGGUUAAGGUUAAAAUCAUAGACAGUUUAUAGAAAACUGGACAUAUAAUCCCCCCCCUCCCCCUUUAUGUUCCAAACAGGAAGUACCUGCUGGUCCCAGAAAGCCAAAAUCCAAUAGGCUUUUAUUGAGAAAUAAACAUUACUUAGUCAGAAUAACCAUUCUUGCUCUGGUAUCUCUUUUUAACAUGUUCUUGCUAAACCUAUUUUUUUUCAUAUCUUUUUUUUUAGUUAUCCAAGUUUCAAACUGACCAAUCAGAUGCCUCAAUAGAAGUAUGUUAUGCCCGCUAGCCCCCACCUUGAACACCUUGAAUGGUCGACACAUUUGAUUGACAGAUUCUCCUGACUGCUUUCAGUGGAAGGGGUGUGGCUUUCUAACAAGCUCACUCCUGAUUAGCGAGAGUGGUUGCCAUGGAAAUGAUUACUCAGACCAACUUGGACCAAUCACUCCAUACUGAUGUUGUCUGGUUCCAAAAUGACGAAGUCCGUACCGUAGUAAAAUGGCGACUGAAUUGAAUUCAUUUAGUUGGAUGUAAGGCAUUUUCUAUUGGUGACAUCACCGGCGCUUUGUCCAUCUCUAUAUAUGUCAAUGGUUAAAACUGACAGCAAAGUGCAUUUUUGAAGUAAAUGAAUGAAUGAAUAAAUACACUUCCAUUCAUUUUUGUGCAAGUAAAUAUAUGCGAAUAAAACCUGAUUUUGCUUUAGUGUAGAUGCUAAAUGAAAGUAAGUUUAAGUGAUUUGAUGCAUAUUUGCAUCAAGAAGCGUCAAGAGGUUUAAAUGAAAAAAGUUGAGCAAAAAUAAGUCAAAAUUGUAAAAAAAAAAAAAA